rnacentral:lncRNA from 10 species
UGCUUGGUAAAAUACAUACUUAGAACAAUUGGGUUUUUUGUGUGUGAUGGAAAAUGACUCACACAUCUUGGCCUCACUAGUCUUUGGGGACUCUGUGUACUUAUUCCAACAGCCAUUGCAGCAACAUACAGUCAUCCAGGGACCAGGACUAAAGGAGACUGCUGACUUGCAUACACAUCUUCCAAGAACACACUGGGCAUCAACAUCCAACAAGCGAAAAAAGGAAGGAGCAUGUAGGAUGCCAUGGACCUGGUCUAAAAAUGACACACAGUACUUUCUCUAAUAUUCCACUGGCUGGAUUUCAUCUUAAUGGGUAUACCUAACUGCAGGGAAUUCAUACCUAACUGCAGCGAAUUCAUACCUAACUGCAAGGAAUUCAUACCUAACUGCAAGAAGUCAGAGAGAAGCAUAUGACACGUUCAGAAGAAAGGAACUGCCAUAUUGUGGACAAGGUCACAUGGCAGGGAAUGGUGGGCAGCCUCUAGAAGCUAAGAGCAACCCCCAGCUGACAGCCAGCAAGACAUCAGAGACUUCAGUCCUACUGCCCCAGAAACUGAAUUCUGCCAACAACCUGGACGAGCCUGGACAGAAACCUGAGCCCAGAGUGAGAAAUGCAGCCCCAGCCAACACCUGGAUUUCAGCCUGAUGAGACCCUGAGGAGAGAAUCCAGUCAUGUUGCAUCUGGAAUUCUGACCUAGAGAACUGUGAGUUUGUAAAUUUGUGUUGUUUUAAGUUGCUAAGUUUGUGAAAAUUUGUGAUGCAGCAAUAGAAAACUGAUAUCCUGUGCCUGGCGUGGUGGGUCAUGCCUGUAAUCCCAGCACUUUGUGGGGCUGAGGCGGGCAGAUCACAAGGUCAGACGUUCGAGACCAGCCUGGCCAACAUGGCGAAACCUCAUCUCUACUAAAAAUACAAAAAUUAGCCGGGCAUGGUGGCACGCACCUGUAAUCCCAACUACUCAGGAGGCUGAGGCAGGAGAAUCAAUUGAACCUGGGAGGCAGAGGUUGCAGUGAGCCGAGAUUGUGCCACCAUACUCCAUCCUGGGUGACAGAGUGAGACUCCGUCUCAAAAAAAACAAAAACAAACAAACAAAAAAAACUGAUAUCCUGUCCUAUAGUAGGCAUUUAAUAAAUAUAUGUGGAAUGAAUGAAUGAAUGAAUGAAAGAAAUUUUGAUAUGUUACAUGGUAAAGGUAAGAUAAUUAUAAGAAAGGCAAAAUAUGAAACUAUACUUGUGAUUUUAGAACUAAGUUCUGGAUAGUUUUAAUAACCACAUAUCUUGUAUUAUUUAUAUACAUUCAU